AGGACCUCACAUUUUCUUUUUAUCUGGGAAUUACAAAUAAGUUGCUUUAACGGACUCUUCUAAGUAGCUUAAUAGCUGAAUAAAUAUGCAUUUCUAUUUUGCAAUAUUUAUGUAAGUUUUUCACUUUUCUAUCAGCUCCCCUGUAUGCACUUUCUUCAGAUUGGGAGCAUCUUGUUUCUAUUUUUCCACCUUGUCUAACAGAAGUUAAGAUAACGUGUAGACAUAAAUGUAUGUUAAUUCUUAUGGAUUUGUUCUAGUGAUGUUUGACCAUUAGUGCAGAGUGUCUAUCGUUUAUCGUACCUUAUGGGUUUUGCUAGCUGACAAAUAGGAAGAACACAAGCCUUAAACUGGUAAUAAGCUCAGAGUAGAGCAACCUUCUAAUAGCCUGGUUUUCACAGCUGAAGGUCCUCAUCUCUGACCUGAUGUAAACCUCCUUCAGAAUGGAAGGAAAACUUGCUGCCUGAAGUCCUUGGAUAUUUUCAUUCUUUGGGGAAGUGGAAGAGUCGUCUUCUACUGGGUCACAGUAAGUCCAGUUCAUUUUCUGUGUCCGUGUUGCAUCGUACAGAUAAAAUAUUUGAGGCUUAAAAAAGAUUUGAAAUUAUAUAUUAUAUUAUAUGAUUGAUUGAUUGAUUGAGAUAAUAGAUAGAUAGAUAGAUAGAUAGAUAGAUAGAUAGAUAGAUAGAUAGAUAGAUAGAUAGAUAGAUAGAUAGAUAGAUAGAUAGAUAGAUAGAUACAUCGAUAAUAAAUAUAGAGGUUUUUAAACAGAAACUGAUGGCCGUCUGUUUGCUUCGUGUGUUUUUGCAUAGUAGAAUGGAGUUGAACUGGAUGGCCCUUGUGGUCACUUCCAACUCCAUGAUUCAAUAAUUCUGUUUCUUUAUAAUCAUUUGAGCAGAUCAAAAUAUGAGCAUGAAUCCUUCUGUACUUCCAUAGAGGUCAGCCCAACCACUGUUAAUGGUGGCAUCCUCAAAUAAUGUCAUUUGUUGGACUUUCAUGCUCAGGU
rnacentral:lncRNA from 1 species